rnacentral:sRNA from 1 species
UGAAGAAAUUCAACCAAGCGC